UGGGGAGGGGGCGUGGCCUAAGGCAGGGCUGGACGCCAUUGGCUGAAGAAUACCGGGUCAGGCCAAUCCGGGCUUCUAGAGGGGCUUACUCGGCCGCAGGCCCUGCGCGCGCCAAUGCGCGUGCCUCCUUGGCCGGCGGGAGGAGGGGCGGAAAUUAGAGCCGGGUGAGGGGCACGCUGACGCACGACGUUCGAGGAUGGCGGGUCUGGGUGUAACCGCGCGGGGCCGCUGUCUGUACCCGCCUCAGCGGGGAACCCGGCCGGCUUUUCCCUGCCAGAGCUUUUGUGCGAUGACAACCUUAAGCCCCGCGGUAGAAGGGAUCGCUCUGGAGCACACCCCUUUGUCCCUCCAGUCCUUCCCGUGAGGGGCGCUGGCAAGGAGGCGUGUCCAUUGAGGCCGGGCGCUGAGCUGCCGCCCUCGCCUAGGGGCGGAACUCGGUCGCGCUGCGCCCCACUGCUGCCGGUUUCCCAGGUAGCCGCGCCUAGAACUUCAGGCCGCUGGCCACCUCCUCGCUCUUUCUCUGUUGCACUUCAGCUCAGCACUGGCCAGAGCAAGGACACGAAUAGAACUGGACUUUUCACACGGGAGGGCCAGGCGUUCCCCCGACUCAUUCCGGGAGCCGGGGACACAGGGUGCCGCCCUGCUGCCUUUCAGCCCGGCUAAACUGGCUCAGGACUGGCUCUGGUCUGGCGAUUAAUCUGGCCGCCAAGUGAUGUGCCCACCGUGGCCUGUGCUUAUAGGAGUGAACUACGUGCCCGGGCAGCGGGUGCUGCUGUACAGGGAACGUGGGGCCCCUUCCUCCCCCUUCCGUCCCAGGCCCGCUGCCAACUUCUCUAGGCUGCCCCUCUCCCACCGCAGUCGGGAAGGCUUCAAAAGCCACCAGCUGCGAGGACCCCGCCCACCCCGCCCCACCCUUCCACUGGGCCGCCUGAAGGAAAUGCUGGGCUUAGUCCCUGCGGGGUCUGGACCAACUUGCCCUUGACUUCCAUCGCAGGCGCUCCCCACCCUCAAACUCCAAGUCUUGGGCCAUCAGCGAAGAGACUGGUGCAUAACUUCCUGCCUUGGGAACGACUUUAAUACACCCCUCACAGCUUCGCCCUCACCAGACUCUGGUGAGGCAGCUCCUGGCCCAAAACUGGAAGCAUUGAACUCAAAAGUCUGCAACCACUCGUUUGUUGGGCUAAAUGGCCUUGGAACAAGUCAGACACCCGAGCUGAAUUUCAACAGAAGUCGGGAAAGUGAGGACCACUCAGGCAUUUGGCCCCAGUGGACCAGAAUAGAGAAGCUGGGAAUUAAGGGCGAUGGCAAGGUGGACUCUUUGGAAGAGGAAUUAGAUCAUGAGAGUGGAGCCUUCUUGAAUGAAAUUAGUGUACUUCAAAAGAGAUUUCAGAGACCUCCUUUGCCCUUCCAUCAUAUGAAGUUAUAGUAAGAAUACAGCCAUCUAUGAACCAUGAUGCCUAGGUUUGAUCAUGUACCUACCAGCCUGAGGAACUGAGAAGCAAAUUGUUAAUACCACCCAGUCUAUGGUAUUUGUAAUACCAACCCCAAACAGAUUAAGACACCUUCCCACUCAUAGGAAGCCAGCAGGCUGUCUCUGGAAGACCAGGAGCUAAGCUAUUGAGGGAAGCAUCAACCUGAUCUGAAUUGAGAAAACUGGCAGAGUUUGGGAUUCAAAUAAUAAGUAGGUUUAAAACUAAAUUAACAGAAAAGCAAGAGCUUCAAAGAAACAAAAAGGAAUGUCCACUGUAGUUGCCUGCUUGGCUCAGUUGCAGAUAAUGUUUUCAAAGUGGUAAUGAUCAACACUGAACCCUGACCAAAUCAACUUUUUCACAUCAUUCUCAUGGAGGAAUGGAACACUCUGGGUGGGCACAAGGGAGGGAGUGGGAGGAAAAGAAGUCUACAUUUGUAUAAUGAGAUAUCAGUAAGCCCCCCAAAUUGGAAAAAUUAGAAGUAGUGAUGCUAUGGUGAGCAGAAUUCUAAGAUUCCCCAACAUUCUGCCCCUAGUCUAUACAUAUCCACUCCCAGUUAGUCAACUAAUACCCUAGGUGUUUUUGUAAGAGAUUUUGUGAUGUGAUUAUGCUUUCUAAUCAGCUGACAUUAAGAUAGGGUGAUCAUCUCAGUGCAUCUGAGCUGAUCACAUUAUUCCUUUCAGUUUGAGUCCAGAGAGACAAGGAGGUUAGAGAAAUUGGAAACAUGACAGAUAUUUGAAUUGAGAAAGAUGCUCCAUUGCUGACUUUGACAAAAAGAAUGUCCACUAUAGUGGACAUUGGAGGGGUGACAUGGCAAUGGAGGGGGUGACAUGGCAAGGAAUGCAGGCAGGAAAUAAGAGUAGUCCCUGAUUGAAAACCAACUAGAAAUGGGGACCUCAGCCUACAACCACACACACACAAAAAAAUAGACUGUUACCACAGCUGAAUGAGUUUGGAAAAGGACCCCAAGCUCCAAAUGGGAACCACAGUCCAGGCAACUUGAUUUUAGUCUCAUGGGGUCCUGAACAGAAAAGAACAGUACCAUUCCCAGACUUUUAACUUACAGACCAUAAAAUAAUAAAGAUUAUUAUCUUAAUCCCCUAA